rnacentral:tRNA from 1 species
UGGCUCAGUGGUAGAGCGCUUGUCUUGCAUGCAUGAGGCCCUAGGUUCGAUUCCUUA